GGGCUGGCUUCUAGCUCAGCGGUUCCUUCGACAGCAUGUUAUUACCCAACUGGUCUGGUGCCUUCCACCAGCCGGAUGGAUCGAGACCCGCGGGCGCUCUCCAGUCCUUUU
ensembl:misc_RNA Vault Vault RNA